UUCUAUUGUCUGCGAGACUUCCACAGU
rnacentral:piRNA from 1 species